rnacentral:rRNA from 1 species
CCUACGGGCGGCAGCAGUAGGGAAUUUUCGUCAAUGAGCGCAAGCCUGAACGAGCGAUGCCGCGUGAGUGAAGAAGGCCUUCGGGUCGUAAAGCUCUGUUGCGGGGGAAAAAAGGCAGCAUCAGGAAAUGGGUGCUGACUGAUGGUGCCCCGCCAGAAAGUCAUGGCUAACUACGUGCCAGCAGCCGCGGUAAUACGUAGGUGGCGAGCGUUAUCCGGAAUGAUUGGGCGUAAAGCGUGCGGAGGCGGUUCUGCAAGUCUGGAGUGAAACGCAUGGGCUCAACUCAUGCAUGGCUUUGGAAACUGGAGGACUGGAGAGAAAGAGAGGUCAGUGGAACUCCAUGUGAAGCGGUAAAAUGCGUAGAUAUAUGGAAGAACACCAGUGGCGAAGGCGGCCGACUGGCCUGUUGCUGACGCUGAGGCACGAAAGCGUGGGGAGCAAAUAGGAUUAGAUACCCGGGUAGUC